rnacentral:rRNA from 1 species
CUGGGAGGACCAUCUCCUAAGGCUAAAUACUCUCUAGUGACCGAUAGUGAACCAGUACCGUGAGGGAAAGGUGAAAAGCACCCCGGAAGGGGAGUGAAAUAGAACCUGAAACCGUGUGCUUACAAGUAGUCAGAGCCCGUUAAUGGGUGAUGGCGUGCCUUUUGUAGAAUGAACCGGCGAGUUACGAUUUGAUGCAAGGUUAAGCAGUAAAUGUGGAGCCGUAGCGAAAGCGAGUCUGAAUAGGGCGUUUAGUAUUUGGUCGUAGACCCGAAACCAGGUGAUCUACCCUUGGUCAGGUUGAAGUUCAGGUAACACUGAAUGGAGGACCGAACCGACUUACGUUGAAAAGUGAGCGGAUGAACUGAGGGUAGCGGAGAAAUUCCAAUCGAACCUGGAGAUAGCUGGUUCUCUCCGAAAUAGCUUUAGGGCUAGCCUCAAGUGAUGAUUAUUGGAGGUAGAGCACUGUUUGGACGAGGGGCCCCUCUCGGGUUACCGAAUUCAGACAAACUCCGAAUGCCAAUUAAUUUAACUUGGGAGUCAGAACAUGGGUGAUAAGGUCCGUGUUCGAAAGGGAAACAGCCCAGACCACCAGCUAAGGUCCCAAAAUAUAUGUUAAGUGGAAAAGGAUGUGGCGUUGCCCAGACAACUAGGAUGUUGGCUUAGAAGCAGCCAUCAUUUAAAGAGUGCGU